rnacentral:rRNA from 1 species
GACGAACGCUGGCGGCGUGCUUAACACAUGCAAGUCGAACGGAAAGGCCCUGCUUUUGUGGGGUGCUCGAGUGGCGAACGGGUGAGUAACACGUGAGUAACCUGCCCUUGACUUUGGGAUAACUUCAGGAAACUGGGACUAAUACCGGAUAGGAGCUCCUGCUGCAUGGUGGGGGUUGGAAAGUUUCGGCGGUUGGGGAUGGACUCGCGGCUUAUCAGCUUGUUGGUGGGGUAGUGGCUUACCAAGGCUUUGACGGGUAGCCGGCCUGAGAGGGUGACCGGCCACAUUGGGACUGAGAUACGACCCAGACUCCUACGGGAGGCAGCAGUGGGGAAUAUUGCACAAUGGGCGGAAGCCUGAUGCAGCAACGCCGCGUGCGGGAUGACGGCCUUCGGGUUGUAAACCGCUUUCGCCUGUGACGAAGCGUGAGUGACGGUAAUGGGUAAAGAAGCACCGGCUAACUACGUG